ACGAAGCCGCGCUCACUUGGCUUCGGAUAGAAGCCCCCGCGCACUUCGCUAGGGUUCUACCCCCGCAACGCACCGCCGCCGCCGCCAAGCCACCGGACCGCAGAUCCGGACCCAACGCACCGCCGCCGGACCCUCUCCUCGCCGCAUCGUCGUCUUCGCAGUGACACCGGCGCCCUUGUCCGUCGUGCUGGUUCCUCCGGUCCCCGACCAUCGCGUUGGCAUCUUCGCAGAUUUGCGUAUCGAGUUGUUCGUCUUCGGUUCCAAGAUCAAGUGCAUCCAAGGUACUUUCAUACACAAUUUCUUGCGCAAUUUACUGUCCACAUGGGCACAACCAAUUUAUAUAUGUGCUGUCAUUUGUGCAUAUUACUUGGAGAUACGAGAGCUGGGAUGGUCAUAUGUUUAUUGUUACCUAGGGAUACCAUUGUU